rnacentral:rRNA from 1 species
GACGGAGGAUGCAAGCGUUAUCCGGAAUGAUUGGGCGUAAAGCGUCCGCAGGUGGCAGUUCAAGUCUGCUGUCAAAGACCGGGGCCUAACUUCGGAAAGGCAGUGGAAACUGAACAGCUAGAGUAUGGUAGGGGCAGGGGGAAUUCCUGGUGUAGCGGUGAAAUGCGCAGAUAUCAGGAAGAACACCUAUGGCGAAGGCAGCUCUCUGGGACGGUACUGACGCUGAGACGCGAAAGCGUGGGGAGCGAACAGG